UAAUGUUGCAGUUCUUUUAAAAUUUGUCUGGCACAUUUUCCAUUCCUUACCAGAAGACCCUC
rnacentral:snRNA from 1 species